rnacentral:tRNA from 1 species
CGGAGCGUAGCUCAGAUGGUUAGAGCGCAUGCCUUGGGAGCAUGAGGUCCCCGGUUCAAGUCCGGGCGCUCCGA